rnacentral:lncRNA from 1 species
CUCACACUCUAGGACGGAUCUUCUUGGAGCAGGGAAUCUUUUAACACCUCUUUCUUUUCUAGACUCUCAUGCUAACAGCUAUUGGAUGGAAAGAGAUGUUUGGGCUUCUGUGGUUGUUUACUGUGUACGCCAGAUAGAACCGUGGGUCUCCAGCUGCUGUUCCACACAGAUGUUUGGCUAACUCCAGCUAGGCUGAAAUAUUGGCAGAUUCAUUUUACUGAAGGAUUUCAGUUUCCGUGACUUCUUG